UCUGUUACCGUACGCAGGUCAAAAUAUGUAUAUUUAUUUUAAAGGAAAGGGGGGAAAUAAGAAAAAUGAAAUUAAACCAGUUGAAUUUGACAAUAAUUUAUUGUAAGGCAUAAAGUGUCAUAGGUUAAGGUAAUUUAAUGUUUUUUCGACAUUUGAUAAAGUAGAGCACUGUCUUUCAUUCUUUUUUUGUUCACUUUUAAAAUUUAAUGUCUUUUUUUCAGUUUAGCCUUACUUUUCUUAGCUUUUAAUUAAUUUACGAAUAUUUGAUCAGAGUUAACUAAAAGAUACAGUGGACUUAGUUAAAAAUAUUAUAUGGAUACAAGAUGGACGAACGAUGCAGCUCGAUUCCGCACCUGUACUGAGGUAAGUGCGUCUCGAUUGGAGUUCAGCGCACAUUCAACUAUUUGAUGGUAGAGUUUUUGUGCGCCGCCCACCGACGUCGUGCAUCCAUCAUCCAUUGUUCAGGCAAAACCACUACCGCAGGCAUAUGUUGACAAAGACUAUGAUUGCUUUUUAUUCUUCAUCUAAGUUAACUUUGUCAUUUCAACCAUUCCUUAAAUAUGCAUAUCGUCCAAGAUAAUAUACUAUAUAUCAAUCAAGUCCACGUUGCAAAUGUGUCCUUUGUUGGCAGCUUUGCGAUGCAUUUGUGGCACUUUUUGGAAAUAGACGUUUUGCCUUGCACGAAUUUUCCGCAUCUCAUGGAAUUUUUUAAUGUGAAUAUGUUGCUCAAAAGCCCUUUGAAGACGACGACGCUUUUUUCUGGACGCGCAGCAAAUGAUGAACUGGUGUUCUGUGAUGCCCAAGUUAGAAAGAGAACAACAGCAACAGCUUCUCAACAUUUGUGUUUUGUCCAAA